UUUCUGAGAGGCUCAAAGCGCUUGCGCCGACCCCUUCUCCCACAGUCUUUGUGCGGAAAGAAGGGCUUCGCGCGUGCGCGGCGGGUAGUGGGACUGUAGAGUCCCGCUAAGGGGCGCCAGAGGCGUCAGGAUCGCUGGUGAAUCAUAGUACGCCGCUCCUCGACCAGCUUCUACUUCAGACACUUAAACUUCCAAGACAGCUUCCUUUUACGAUAUGCAAAAAUCAAGGAGAAAGGAAUCCAAGCACAAUAAAGGAAGCCAUCAAACCACAAGGGAAGAGAGAAGAAAGAGAAGAAGAAAGGAACAGAAGAACUACAAAAGCAACCAUAAUACAAGUAACAAAAUGGCACUCCCUGUGACCUGGAUCUUUCAUAAGGAAAGGAAGGCCCAUGUCAUGUCACUGAUGCUCCUUCUACAGUGUUGAUCACCAGGCUCAAGACAUGCCUUCCCCAGGUGAUUUAUAUCUUUUGACCAUCUUCACCCAUUUCAUCCAUUCCCCAUGGCUACCACACCUCUGGCUACCACAAAUCUGUUUGCUGUGUCUGCCCUCACUUCCUCAGCCAUUCUGCAGGGCAAGACAGAGUUCACCAGCAAUUAGCUGCCCCACAGAGAUGAGAGCCCAGCCCCUGGGAGGGGUUGUGUCCAGCAGGUACAUUGGAAGACUGAUUUCCAAGCCUUACCCUGCCCUUGUCUUCGUGUCCCUCUGGUCUUCUGAUACCUGCAGGUCCUGGUCCUUUAUUUCCCUGGUGUUUAUUGGAUGUCUUCUGUGUGCCAGGCACUGUGUUAGUGGAGGACAUGGGGCCCCUGCUUUCUGGAACUCUCCUUCUGGGGUGGCAUCCAGACAGACAGAAGAAUGUGUCAGUUAAGACGUACUAGGAACCCCAAGGAUAAUUGGGUGACGGAUGGGACAGAGACUAGGAACCCCAAGGAUAAUUGGGUGACGGAUGGGACAGAGACAGAUGAGAAUGGUGACUUUGAUACAGAGCCACUGUCUCUGGUGCAGGGAGCCAGGGAGAGGUCCUAAGAGGGCACCCCCAGGAACUAUUGCCCCUGAGUGCAGAGACUGGGCUUCUUUGAGCAAAGCUGGAGGGCAGCUGGGGUGAGCAGAGGGUGAAGAAGUCAGAAGGACAGGUAGAGGCAGAUCACAUACCCUGGACACCAUGUAGGGAGCAUGGGUUUUAUUUUUUGAGUGAAAUAUUAAAGAAAGUAAAACAUCUGAAUGUUUUAUAUGGGUUACAUAUUGAAAUGAUACUAUGUUGGUUAUUUUAGGUUAAAAAAUAUAUUGUUCAAAUUAA